UCAAAGCUCUUCAGAAGCUUCUCUGUGUGGAUACCGAUCACUUAACAACACUUAAACACUUUCUGAGCUAGACUACUGGAGAUGGCUCACCUUAAAACCUGCACCUUGAGUGUCCUCAUACUCAUCGCCUUUCUCAUGGAGACCGAUGCAGGGCAUUGCUGUCUCAAAUACCGUAGACGGCCUCUUGACUGUCGACAUCUGAAAGGCUUCGAUAUCCAGAAAAUGACUGGCCGCUGUGAUCUUGCAGCGAUCAUCUUCCAUACAAAAAAUGGAAAAUUUGUUUGUGCUGACCCGAAACAACUUGGA